rnacentral:rRNA from 1 species
UACGGAGGGUGCGAGCGUUGUCCGGAAUCACUGGGCGUAAAGGGCGCGUAGGCGGCCUGAUAAGUAGGGGGUGAAAUCCUGCGGCUUAACCGCAGGGCUGCCUUCUAAACUGUCAGGCUAGAGCACGGUAGAGGCAGAUGGAAUUCCCGGUGUAGCGGUGGAAUGCGUAGAGAUCGGGAAGAACAUCAGUGGCGAAGGCGGUCUGCUGGGCCGAUACUGACGCUGAGGAGCGAAAGCAUGGGUAGCGAACAGG